rnacentral:rRNA from 1 species
UGUAAAGUUCAAGCUCCGAUUUAGAGGGCGAAACCGCGAAUGGCUCAUUAAAUCAGUCAUAAUCUACUUGAUUGUUUAAAGUUUAUAUGGAUAACUGUGGUAAUUCUAGAGCUAAUACAUGCACAAAUGGGGCGACUCUAGCAAUGGAGAAGCUCUGCGUUUAUUAGACUAAGACCAAUGAGAUCUCGUAUCUCUAAAUCUAAGGUGACUCUGAAUAAAUAAUGGGUUUACGCCCAUGUUGCCGAGCUGGCGCAAAGGGCCUCACGGCCUGCCAGCCAAAUCAAUCGAGUGUCUGCUCUAUCAACUGUGGAUGGUAGGAUAAUUGCCUACCAUGGUGGUGACGGGUAACGGGGAGUUAGGGCUCGACUCCGGAGAACAAGCCUGAGAAACGGCUAGUAGGACUAAGGUCUGCAGCAGGCGCGAAACUUACACAAUGCUAGAUUACCAUUAGCGAUGUAGUGAAGAAAAAUAACGAUGUACUUGCAUUUAAACAUGCUAGUACAAUUGGAAUGAGACGACUACAAACCAGUUAGUCGAGUAACAAAUGGAGGGCAAGUCUGGUGCCAGCAGCCGCGGUAAUUCCAGCUCCAUUAGCAUACAUUAAAGUUGUUGCGGUUAAAAAGCUCGUAGUUGAAUUUAUAGUUGGUUACAUUGGGGCGCUUCCACUCAAGGGAUAGAUUAAUUUUAAUUAAUUCUUCUAUCCUGGUUGCGCUUUCCCCUUAGGAGCCAACUGUUUCGUCACUUAAUCGAGUGCGAAGCGGGCUGGAGUGGUCAACAAGUUUAUCUUGUUUUCGCUACAGCAUCUUUACCUUGAGAAAAUUAGAGUGCUCACAGCAGGCAGUUGGGGUGUAAAAGCCUCUUUAAUGCUUGAAUAAUGUUGCAUGGAAUAAUAGAAUACGGCCUCGGUUCUAUUCUGUUGGUCUUAUAGAACAACAAACAAGUUGGUUAAGGCGAUCAAAAGUCACCCGGACGAUGUGUGCCCCCAAGGAUCUACUUAAAUUCUUGUUGUCUUUGGUGCCUAAAAACACCUUUGUACCAUAAUUUAAAAAGACCCCCUUGGAGGCACAUCUAAAGCAUCCCCGGAUUGGCUAGCCUUCUAAUCAACUGAGGCAAUGGUUAAAAGAAAUAGUCGCGGCGGCAUCAGUACUGCAUCGUGAGAGGUGAAAUUCUUAGACCGAUGCAAGACUAACUGAAGCGAAAGCGUUUGCCGAGGAUAUUUUCAUUAAUCAAGAACGAAAGUUAGAGGUUCGAAGGCGAUCAGAUACCGCCCUAGUUCUAACCAUAAACGUUGCCAACUAGCAAUUGGGUUGUGAUUCCUUUAAUCGAAGCUUAAUAAACUUCGAUCAUUAUGAUCCACCCAGCGGCUCUCGUAGGGAAACCAAAGUGUUUGGGUUCCGGGGGAAGUAUGAUUGCAAAGUUGAAACUUAAAGGAAUUGACGGAAGGGCACCACCAGGAGUGGAGCCUGCGGCUUAAUUUGACUCAACACGGGGAAACUUACUAGAUUAAAACUCUGGAAUGAUUGACAGAUUGAUAGCUCUUUCUUGAUUCAGAGGAUGGUGGUGCAUGGCCGUUCUUGAUUCGUAUUCCGAAACGUCUGCUUAAUUGCGAUAACGAGUGAGACCUCACCCAACUAACUAGUCGUUUGGUGCGCUGUUGGAACGCAAAAGUUUGUUGCAAGUUUAGUUCUAAUUGGUUUACGCUACUUAGUUCGCUUGUAGCAAAUGUUCUCUGCUCGCCAGCGGACUUCUUAGAGGGAUAAACGGUGUUUUAGCCGUAAGAAACGAGGCAAUAACAGGUCUGUGAUGCCCUUAGAUAUUCUAGGCCGCACGCGUGCUACAAUGGCGUGUGCAGAAAGCUUGUUCGAGGUUUGUCCAGAGAGAACUAGUUAUUUGGUUUGCAGUAGGUAGCAAUAUUUGUUGUAAAUCGGUAAAAAAGUGACUUUGGUUAGCAAGCCGAGAGAAACCGUAGCCGAAAGGUUACGGCAAUCAUAAAUACACGCCGUGAUUUGGGAUUGGGGAUUGCAAUUGUUGCCCAUGAACGAGGAAUUCCCAGUAAGCGCAAUUCAUCAUAUUGCGUUGAUUACGUCCCUGCCCUUUGUACACACCGCCCGUCGCUACUACCGAUUGGAAGUUUUAGUGAGGCAUUUGGACCUGCAAUCUAAAGGGGAGGCAACUCCUCUUGGACCGCGGGGAAGUCUGUCGAACUCAAAUUUCUAGAGGAAGUAAAAGUCGUAACAAGGUUUCCGU